rnacentral:tRNA from 1 species
GGUCCCGUAGCUCAGUUGGUAGAGCACUGGACUUUUAAUCCAGGUGUCCAGGGUUCGAAUCCCUGCGGGAUCG